CUUGGAGAUGUCACCUCUUCGAGGUGUCACAUCCUGCUGUCACCUCCUGAUGUCACCAACUGGGCCACAGUGAGCAAAGGGACACCGUGGGGCGCUGUGACCCCGAUGUCACCUCGUGUCACCAGAUGGGUGACAGCCACCACUGAUGUCACCUCCUGGAGGUGUCACCCCUUCGAGAUGUCACCUCCUGGAGGUGUCACAUCCUGGUGUCACCUCCUGAUGUCACCAACUGGGCCACAGAGAGCAGAGGGACACCGUGGGGCGUUGUGACCCCGAUGUCACCUCGUGUCACCUCACACCCCUCUCAAUGCCACCACAACUGUCCCCAAAUGUCCCUAUUGGGAACGUUGAAGGUCCGAGUGUCACCUUUGUCACCUCCUGCUCCCCGCAGUGUCCCCGACUGGCACGUGGUGGAGGUGGAGGUGACCGGCAGAGGUGACAAAGGUGACAAAGGCAGAGCCCUGCGUGUCACCAGCACCCGAAGGAACCCCGCGGCCACCGGCGCUGUCACCGGCGAGGCCACCAAGGCUGCCUUCUGGAGCAGCGUCCUGGGUGGGCUUUUGUCACCUAAUGUCACCUCCUGUCACCUUGUCACCUCCUGUCACCUGUCACUGUGUCACCUCCCGUCCCCUCCUGUCAUUGUGUCACCUCCUGUCACCUCCUGUCACUGUAUCCCCUCCUGUCAGUGCGUCACCUCCUGUCCCCUCCUGUCACCAUGUCACCUCCUGUCCCCUCCUGUCAUUGUGUCACCUCCUGUCCUCUCCUGUCACCAUGUCCCCUCCUGUCCCCUCCUGUCACCGUGUCACCUCUGGUCACCGUGUCACCUCUUGUUGUUGUGUCACCUCCUGUCCCCUCCUGU
rnacentral:lncRNA from 1 species